UUUUAAACAAAUAAAAUAAUUCAUUGAAUUAUUGUAGUAAAAGUGUACGGUCUUAGAAGUUAAUUUCGUGAAGUGUAAAAUGGGCAAAAACGUUCAGUUUUCUCGUGUAAUUGCACCUCAGGUUCAUCCUAUUAAUUUCCUUCUCGUCCCCGUGACAAAGAACGAUGUCUGAAAUGUAUCGCAGCUUGCGGAAAUUCGUCUCUACUUAAGCUUUCGUUGGAAAAGCUGAGAAAUAAAUAUGUUGGCCGAAAUCAUUUCUACGGCAAUCAAAUUCAUUAUAAACAUCUUUCAAAUUCAACAGUACCGAAUUUAAAUUUAUCUAAUCCGUUAGACAUUCAUGAUGUACAUAAAUCCUUCGAAAUUGGCAUAGAAGGUCCUGAUUUUUCUAUUAAUAUUGUAAAAGAAAAGGAAAAUAUUGAAAAUGUAACAUUGAAUAUGGAAAAUUUUGUUUAUAGUUCAGAAAUCGGACAAUCUUCAAAAACGAAGACAUCACAAAAACCGCUCAGAGACUUCAUUUUCCAAGAAACUAUCCCACCCUUACGUAAAUUUUAAGUUCCUGAUGUAUUCCUUUGUUUGAUUUUAUUCCUUCCUUUCUUUUCUCCUUUUUCUUCAUAAAUGUUAAUAGAAUGCCUUCCAAUCCUUAAUUUUUUUGA